rnacentral:rRNA from 1 species
AUUGAACGCUGGCGGCAGGCCUAACACAUGCAAGUCGAGCGAGCGGCGGACGGGUGAGUAAUGUAUGGGAAACUGCCUGAUGGAGGGGGAUAACUACUGGAAACGGUAGCUAAUACCGCAUACCAUCAGAUGUGCCCAGGUGGGAUUAGCUCGUAGGUGGGGUAACGGAUUACCUAGGCGACGAUCCCUAGCUGGUCUGAGAGGAUGACCAGCCACACUGGGACUGAGAACCGGUCCAGACUCCUACGUGAGGCAGCAGGGGUGAAUAUGGCACAAUGGGCGAAAGCCUGAUGCAGCCAUGCCGCGUGUGUGAAGAAGGCCUUCGGGUUUUAAAGCACUUUCAGCGGGGAGGCGUUACCCGCAGAAGAAGCACCGGCUAACUCCGUGCCAGCAGCCGCGGUAAUUC